UGCCAGAGUGUCUUGGCUUUCCAUGCCUGAAAUACUCUCAUGGGCUUUUCAGCCAGAUCGGAAUGCCUUAAGGGCUGAUUCUGAGGCCAGAGUGCUAUUUAGGACAUCUGCCAUUCUAUGAGUCUGCUGAGUAUCUCACUUCCCAUGUUGGAUCACUCUCCCCUUUAUUUAUUCUAUCGGUUAGUGUUAGCAGGUACUAGACAUAAAACAAUGCAUUCUUACCUCACUUUCCAGGUCCAUCCUCUUGUCUCUUAUAAUUACCUGAGAGAUCCAAUAAUUCUCUGACAUUUUGUAAUGAUCAAUCUGUUCAACUUCUGUUAUCCAUAAAAAAGUUAAUGAUUAUAAAUUUUGUAUUAUGAGAGAACAAUACCAGUGCUUUUUUUUUUUUGAAAGGCAGAGUGGACAGUGAGAGAGAGAGAGACAGAGAGAAAGGUCUUCCUUUGCCGUUGGUUCACCCUCCAAUGCGGCCUGUGCACCGCGCUGAUCCAAUGGCAGGAGCCAGGUAUUUAUCCUGGUUUCCCAUGGGGUACAGUGCCCAAGCACUUGGGCCAUCCUCCACUGCCUUCCCGGGCCACAGCAGAGAGCUGGCUUGGAAGAGCGGCAACCGGGACAGAAUCUGACGCCCUGACCGGGACUAGAACCCAGUGUGCCGGCGCCGCAAGGCGAAGGAUUAGCCUAGUGAGCUGUGGCGCCGGCUAUGUUUUUUCUUUUUUUUAUCUGAUAAGUUAUUUCUCGUUUCUGAAUGAUGGAAUCCUUACUGCUUCCCAAGAACCUGUUAAUUAUGAGAAAUGCAUGGAGGUUCCUUCUUUGGAAUUCAGGUUAGAGCAGAUACAUUCAACACUCAAGGCCAACUUUUUAAUCCACACUUUUGACAACAGAAAAAUUUUCUUUGUGCUAAUGUUCUACAUAUAAAUCAAUCCUGACUUUUAGAAUAUUAACAUAUAGUCAAUCACAAAGAGAACACACUCAGAAGGCAGGUGACAGUCUGAAUGUAUGAGCUUCCAUCUCUAUGAAGUCAUUAGCAUAUCCUGCAAUUAUUAUUUUACAGUUUCUUUUUUGUCUUUUUAUUAAUAUAAAGAGAACAGAUUUCAUACAUUUGUUUUUGAAAAGAAAUAAUUUUAAUCUGCUUUAUAUUCACAAGCAUAACAUAAUUUUCAAAAAGUAAAAAAUAGAAAGACCACCAUUCCAUGGGAGUAUCAACAAGAGCCAAAAUCAACAAUCAAAUCAAAAAACAUUAGUUUUUUUCCUAGAUUUUUUUGUAUUCUAUAUUAAUGACCACUUAUCAGAGAAAACAUAUCAUGUUUGUCUUUUGGGGAAUGGCUUGCUUCACUAGGCAGAAUGGCUUCCAUUGCAUCCAUUAGGUAUUACAGAAACUGUUUCCCCACAUCCUUACCAGCAUUUAUCAUUUUUUGAUUUUUGGAUGAUAGCCAUUGUAACUGGGGUGAGGUAAGACCUGACUGUGAUUUUGAGUUGCAUUUCCCUGAUUGCCAGAGAUCCUGAGAAUUUUUUCAUGCGUCUGAAUUGUACAUUUGUAUUUCAUCCUUUGAAAAAUGCCGGUUCAUAGGGCCAGCACCAUGGCUCACUUGGCUAAUCCUCCUCCUCCAUAUGGCAUCCCAUAUGGGCACCAGGUUCUAGUCCUGGCUGCUCCUCUUCCAGUCCAGCUCUCUGCUGUGGCCCAGGAAGACAGUGGAGGAUGGCCCAAGUGCUUGGGCCCUGCACCCACAUGGGAGACCAGGAGGAAGCACCUGGCUCCUGGCUUUGGAUCAGUGCAGAGCCGGCCAUAUUGGCCAUUUGGAGAGUGAACCAAUGGAAGGAAGACCUUUCUCUCUGUCUCUGUCUCUCUCUCUCUCUCUCUCACUAACUCUACUUGUCAAAUAAGUAAAAAAAAAUAAAACAAAAUAAAGAAAAAGAAAAAUGCCUCUUCAUGCCUUUAUCCAUUUCUUAAUUAGAUUAUUUUAUUGUUGUUGGGUUUCUUGAGCUGGAUAUUAAACCUUUAUCAGGGCUGGUGCCACGGCUCACUAGACUAAUCCUCCGCCUGCGGUGCCAGCACCCCAGGUUCUAGUCCCAGUCGGGGUGCUGGAUUCUGUCCUGGUUGCUCCUCUUCCAGUCCAGUUCUCUGCUGUGGCCUGGGAAGGCAAUGGAGGAUGGCCCAAGUACUUGGGCCCUGCACUUACAUGGGAGACCAGGAGGAAGCACCUGGCUCCUGGCUUUGGAUCAGCACAGAGCCGGCCAUAUCAGCCAUUUGGGGGUGAACCAAGGGAAGGAAGACCUUUCUCUCCGUCUCUCUCUCUCACUGUCUAACUCUGCCUGUCAAAAAUAAAAAUAAAGCACUUCAAAAAAAAAAAAAACCUUUAUCAGUUGCCUAGCUUGCAAAUAUUUCUCCCAUUCUGUUGGAUGCCUAUUCACUUUGCUGAGUGUUUCCUUUGCAGUGUAGAAACUCCUUAGCUUGGUGUAAUCCCACUUGUCUAUUUUGUUUUUAUUGCCUAGGCUUCUGAAGUCUUAUCCAAGAAGUUAUUGAAUAUACCAAUAUCUGCCAGAGUUUCCUUGAUGUUUUCCUCUAUUAAUUAGAUGGUAUUAGGUCAUAGAUUUGGAUCAUUCAUCUGUUUUGAGUUGAUUUUUGUAUAAUGUGUAAGGUAGGGAUCUUGUUUUAUACUUCUACACACAUGGAUCCAAUUUUCCCAACACUGUUUGUUGAAAAGACUGUCCUUUCCCCAAGGAUUGAUUUUAGCUUGUGUGGGGACCCAUGAGCCGGCCAUGGGCCCACAUGCUAAGGCUUAGCUUGCUGACCAUUGGCAAUAGUUACUGCUGUGUGGAUGUUUAUGGUUUCUGUUGAGCUGUGAUAUUGGGACCGUUCCAUAGCCCCAGGCUAGAGUCAAAACAACUAUGGCCUUGGGACUUCCUGUACUUCUUUUCCCACUGACCAAGGCUGAGAAAACACCAGGUGGAAGCUUGUUGUUAGCACCGGAGUCGCCUGCUAUGUGACCAGGAGCUUGAUUGGGAUGAAGGCACGUGAUCACCUUUAUGGUUGGACAAGGAGCGCAUGGACUGUGCGUGAUCAGGCACCCGAUUGGAGCGCCACCACAUGGACUGCAGCAUGGACUAAGCUUACAUUACAUGCUUCUGCAAUGAUAUACUAUAUAAGCCGUUCGUGGAAUAGUAAUGGGAGCUUCCCCUUUCUUUCGGAGCUCCCCUUGCUCAAGGGUUUCUUUUUCUAUCCUGUUUAAAUAAAAGUCUACUGAAGACCGAUAAGCUUGGAGAAGUGUCGUUCCUUUGUGGGCAAGGGAGCGACAAGCUUGUUUGUCCAAGAUUAGUUGGUGUAGCUGCAUGGAUUAAAUUCUGGGGUUUCUAUUCUAACCCUUAACUACAUGUCUAUUUGGUACCAAUACCAAGCUGUUUUGAUUAAAACUGUCCUGUUGUAAGCUUUGAAAUCUGGUAUUGUAGUACCUCCAGUUAUGUUUUUGUUGUUUAAGAUCACUUUAACUAUUUAGGGUCUCUUUUGUUUCUGUGGUAAUUUUAGCAUUUUUUUUUUUUUUUAGAUCUGAGAUGAUUGUCAUUGAUGUUUGAUCAGGAUCCCAUUGAAUCUGUAAAUUGCUUUGGGUAGUAUGGACCUUUUGAUUAUGUUAAUUCUUCCACUCCACAAACAUGGAAGAUUUUCCCAUUUUUCUGUGUGCCUUCUUCUAUUACUUUCUUUAAUGUUUUAUAAUUUUCAAUCUAGCAAUCUUUCAAAUUGUUAGCUAAAUUUAUUCCUGGGUAUUUAAAAAAUUUUGUAGCUAAUUUGAAUGGGUCUGAUCCUACAAGUUCUUUUUCAGCCAUGACAUUAUUUUAACUUUCAAGUGAAAUUUCUCAAGUAUCCUCAUAUGUAGCAAAAAAAAAAAAAAAAUCAGAAUUGAGGAUGCUAAGUAGCUGAAGAAUAUUUCACAUAAAAAUGAAAUAGUUGUCUUGAUAAGACACAUUAGCAUGUGUAUUUCACUCAGACCCAUAAUCUGCAGGUAAGGACUCUUUCACAUUAGCCAGUCUUCCAGAUAACAUCUAGGAAGGACUUUUUUUUUCACUAUAUAAAAGUGAGCCAUCUAACAAUUGCCUCUAAGGAAAUAUAGUAUUAUUAUUCUGAAAAUGCUCAUUGUUUAGAAUUCUUUUUUUUUCAUAGCCCUUAGAACUUUCAUGAUUUUGACUAAUUACCCAUUUUAAUAACUUUGCCAGUUAACUUUUUCUGUGUGUUUAUAUACUUGAAAAAGUAACUUUAACUAAAGUAAAGGAUUUUACUAUUUCCAGAAUCUACUCUAUCAGCAAUAACAUCAGAUGGAUGAGAGCUAAUCUCAUUAAUAUUAAUGGAUUUUUUCAAGUAAAUCUCAUCAUGUAUCACUGAUGGACUAUAGGUUGGUGAAAAUUCGAAAAGUCUCAUGUGCCAAGGACAUUAGCAAAAAUGGAAGUUGUCAUAGGAUAGAAAUCUUAUUAAAGCAUGAUCUUCUCAAUUAUGUUCACUGAUUUAAAGAUUUAGUUGUCAUCAUUUCACAGAGAAAUUUGACAAACUGAAAUAGAUUCAAGAACUUUUUUCACUUUGUGCAAAGUAAUAUACCUAAAGUUGGAAAAAAAAUCACUGAAUAUAUAUUUUGGCAUAAUGUACUAUUUCUGACAGUAGUCUAAAUUCUUUUAAAAUUAUUUUUUCAGCACUGUUUAUUUAUUUAAAUCAGGCAGAAAACAUUGAUUAAGUGAUUAUUCCUCUCCAUAGUUCAGUCUAAUGUCUGGGUAGCUACCAUUUGUUGCGUUUCAAGAAGCCUCAAGGCCAUAGAAUAGGCAGAAGCUGUAGCAAUAAGAGUGAAAGUGAUAUUCCAUCACAGUAAUAGUGAAUUUUCAUCAACAAGCAAAAUUAGCCUUAGGGUGAGCAGGGCAGAGGACCUGUGAGAAAGCUCAUAUUUCAAACUAAGAAUUUUAAGUCUGGAGCGCAAAUACACCAAUGCAUGUGUCAACUAAAAAUAUUUUAUUGGCAAUAUGUAGGAAGCAAUGGUAGCAAAGAGUAAAGGAUUAAUCAUUCUUUCUUUUUUAAAAUAUUUAUUUAUUUGAAAGGCAGAGUUACAGAGAGGUAGAGGCAGAAAGAAAGACAGAGAGGGAGAGGGGUCUUCCAUCAGCUGGUUCACUCCCCAGAUGGUUGCAAUGGCCACAGCUGUGCCGAUCUGAAGCCAGAAAAUUUUUCUGGGUCUCUCACAUGUGUGCAGGGGCCCAAGGACUUGGACCAUCUUCCACUGUUUUCCCAGGCCAUAUCAGAGAGCUGGAUUGGAACUGGAGCAGCCAGGACUUGAACCGCACCCAUAAGGGACGCCGGCACUACAGGCAGCUGUUUUACUCACUAUGCCACAGCACUGGCCUCAUCCAUUUCUUUUUAUUCCCUUCUACAUAAUCCAUGAUUGUUUUUGUUCUGAAUCAAAACAUUUCAUAUAAUCGUUAUUAAGCAUCAUUUCAACUGCAUUAUAUGUAUUUUAUAUUGAAUAUAAGAAAUAUGUUGAUGAAAGCAAAUCAGAUGAGAAAAAUAAGAUGGACUAGAAAGGGAAAAUUGAUUAUUUGCUAUUAAUCCAUGAAAUUUGCAAAUUAAUACAUCAGGUCCAUCAAACUCAUCAGUUCCAUCAAACCCAACAGAGCUUACAGGAUAUUACGCUGAAUAGUUUUAAUUUACUCAUUUAUGUAUUCAACGCAUUUGCAAGCACCUUCAUUUAGUACCUAUUAUGUAUGAUAACAGGUAGAGUGGGCAUUAGAGGUGAAAGUACACAUAAAAUACGAGUAAAUGUUUAACAGAAAAUAUAUUAGGGUAAGUGCUGAGGAGAAAAUGACAGGAGCAUACGUCAAAGAGAAGUACCUAGACAGAGACUGGGCGGAAUGAGUGAAGCCUUCAGGAUGAAGUAACAUCUAAGAAGUGAGGAAUGUGUACGUGGUGGAAAGAUGGCUGUGGCAUUGGUGAAUGGGGACCUCUAGACAGAGGAACAGGGACUACACUGGAGAGUGCAUAUUAUUCAAAUGAAGAUUUUCAUGUUUAAAACAUUGUAAAAUACCGGUAGCCAUUCAGACUACCCUUUAGGAAAGCAAUGCAGUUCUGGGAUUUCAAAUUCUAGUUAGACUAGUAUAUAAAAUAUUCAGUAAUUAAAUUCAGUGUUUGAGUUUUAGAAGUAUUUUACAUUAAAAGGCAUUUUAGAAGUAUUUUACAUUAAAAGACUGUAGCAUGGGCCACAACACUUGGGUCUCCCAUAUGUGCAGACUAGAGCUAGGGCACUGAGGCAGACGGACAUUUAAACGCUCAGUUGUAUAAGGCCUCUUUAUUAGCUUUUGUUUGCACUGCAGUGGAAGUUCGUUCAAUUAUUCAGAACUUGUCCCAUCGGCACAUUCAUCAGUAAAAAUGAACAAGACCCUAAAAUCAUUUAAAAUUAGCAUUUAGUGACACAAAAAGGAAGGCAUUAAUUGGUAGAAGGAUGCUUUGCAUGCAGAAUGCAUAAGGUCCAUUACCUUUAAUUUAUUGCCAUGGGAAGUUCCAUACUGACCCUCCUGGGAAGGUAAAGCUGUCAUUCACUUACCUCAGACACAGGGCAUGGGACAACUUAUAAUUUCCAGACCACCGGAGGGUCAUUCUGAAUAUCCUCAGAGCAGUUUCUGCCAUUCUCUAGUGGCUAAAAUAUAAAGCAUUAUCCAUGUAUCAUGGGUAUACUCGGGAUUUCCAAGCCAGUAGUAGGUGGGAAGUAUCAUUAUGUUCUUAAAUCUGUAUUUGAAAUAUAUGAGGUUUGUUUCAUUUUUAUAAAUAUAAAAUAAAAUAUAAAAAAGAAAAUUCUGAUAGGUCAAAUAUGUUUUUAUUUAGUUUUCAAUUGGAAUGAGACUUGGUGUUACUGAGUUUCUCAAGUUCUCUAAGUCAUCAAUGACAAAUUGUAGAUAUAUUUAGAUAUAAAGCAAAUUGAAGUCUUAUGGUACUUAUUACUUGUUAUAGUUAUUGAUUUUAAACUACAGAUGUACUGUCUCCUGGAUAAAAAGGCUUAGUUUUUAAACAACAACAAGUAAACUUACUUAGUAGAGUAUUUCUUUUUUUUAAUAAAAAUAAGUCUAUGUUUAAGAUUUAUUUUAUUUACUUGAAAGGUAGAAAAGAGAGACAGACAGACAGACAGAGGUCUUCCAUCAUCUGAUUCACUCCCCAAAUGACCUCAGUGGCCAGGGCAGGGCCAGGCCAAAGCCAGGAACGCAGAACUUCUUCCAGGUCUCCCACAUGGGUGCAGGGGCUCCAGGACUUGAGCCAUCUUCCACUGUUUUUCCAUGUGCAUUACCAUGGAACUGGAUCAAAAGGGGAGUAGCCAGGACUUGAACCGACACCCAUAUGGGAUGCCAGCUCUGUAGGCAGCAGCCUUACCUAGUAGGCUACAAUGCGGGCUCCAUUAGAUUUCUAGAGCUAGUGUUUUAGGGCUGACUUGAAACUAGCUACAACAAAAUUUUUUUUUAGCUUAUUUAAGGUGUGGUGCAGUGUGGAAAUACAGAGAGAUCUUCCAUCUACUAGUUCACUCCCCAAAUGGCCAUAGUAGCCAGGUGUGAACCAGGCCAAAACCAGGAGCCAAGAACUCCAUCUAGGUUUCCCACAUGGGUGGCAGGGUCCGAAGUUGUUGGGCUAUCUCCUGCUGCCUUCCCAGGUGCAUUAGGAAGCUGAACUGCAAGCAGAGCCGCCAGGAUGGGAACUGUCAUCCAACAUGGCAUUCUGGCCUCGCAAGCAGCUACUUAAACUGCUGUGCCACAAUGCUGCUCUCUACUGUGUUAUGUUGAGCAGACUUUUAGCUUUGUUCCUUUAAAAAUAUUUUCUUUAAAUUUUUCCCUGAAAUAAUUAAGUAUUGAAAAUAAGUGAAGCAGAAACUAACAAUUUUAUACAUAACACACAGAUAUAUAUAAAUAUUUAUAUAUUAUGCGAAUUAUGUAAAAUAUGCCUAUUAAUAGUUGGGUUUUAUGUAUAAUACACACAUUUUUUUCUAAUCAUAAAUAUAUUCUGGCUUUAAUUGAUAAGGAAUUUUUAGCCUUAAAUUAUGUCCAUCCUUCUGGGUCAUAGUGUUUAAUAAUAUCAAUGACACCCAUUUAUAGUAGUAUUCAUAGACAUUCUUCUAUUAAAUUCUGACAAAUGCAAUGGAUAAAAUAUGCAGAUGCCUAUAUAGUGUUAAUAGGAUACAUAUCCUUUCCAUCAGUGUUGUUUUCCAUCAGGGACAGGAAAUAUUACCUGAUGUGCUUGUUGAGUUUGAUCUGUAACAAACCUUUCUAGAAUGAAUGAUUUGCAUGGCAGUUCCUGGUCACUGACAAAGUCCUUGACCUGGGGAGAAUUAUCUAACAGUUAAAAUAAAAACCAUAGAUUUUGAUAAUAUGAAAUAAUUUUAUUUAUUGGAUAAUUUUAAUAUAAAUUUUCAAAUAUAUUAAAAAUGAACUGGGGCUGGUAUUGUGGUACAACAGGUACCACCUGUGAUAUUGGCAUCCUGUAUGGGUGCCGGUUCAUGUCCCAGCUGCUCCAUUUCCGAUCCAGCUCUCUGCUAAUGCACCUGGGAAAAGUAGCUGAAGAUGGCCCAAGUGCUUGGGCCCCUAUCACACAAUUCAGAGACCUGGAAGAAGGUUCUGUUCUGGCUCUGGCCUGGCCCAACUGUGGCCAAAGUGGCCAUCUGGGGAGUAAAAUAGCAGAUAGAAGAUCAGUCUCUCUCUCUGCCUCUGACUCUGCAACUCCGACUUUUAAAAUAAAUGAAUAAAAAACCUUUAAAAAAUGAACUUAGCUUUUAAUGUAUUAUCUUUCCUCAUUCUUUGCUUUGUUCCCUCAUGCAAUGUUUUAUGUAAGUAUGUGUUUAUUUAGUAAUGUAAUGGUAGACUUAUUCUAGAGUUUGGUUUAUUUUACCUGUAAGUGUUAAUAGUUACCUAUAUAAACUUAAGCUUUGAUAAAUAGAAUACAAAAUGAGAGAACAGAAGCAGCUAGAGUCUGGAAAAGCCAAAACCAGUGGGAUGACAUAAAUAUAAGAAGUAGAACUCAUGCAAGAAAAAUCACCAUUACCUGUUCCUCCGAACAUGGCAGUGGAAGACAGGAAUUCAGCAAGCACAGAUUAUAUAUCGGGGUGUCGUUUUUGUAGUGCUUCAAAUAUGUAAUUAAAGUUCAUUCAAUAAGGCUUUGAAAUGAGUUCUGCUUUGAUGUUGAACAUUAUUAAGGGAAUAAUAACAAGACACUGGUUGUGGAUUCAGAGCGAGUGCAUCACUUGUACCAGUGGUCACCACACAGGGGAGCAGCCUGAAGAGCCCAGGAGCCGAGGCACAUCGGAAUUCAGAGUUGGUAGUUGCAACUUGAUAGUAGCAUGAAUGUUAUGUAUUCCUUUAAAAUUUUGUUCUUGGUAAUUAUCACAGCUGGCUUAGUAGUUUUUUUAAAAAGACUUUUAUUUAUUUAUUUGAAGGGUAGAAUUACAGACAGUGAGAGGGAGAGAUAGAGAGAAAGGUCUUCCUUCCAUUGGUUCACUCCCCAAAUGGCCACAAUGGUCGGAGCUAUGCUGAUCUGAAGCCAAGAGCCAGGUGUUUUCUUCCCAGUCUCCCAUGCAGAUGUAGGGGCCCAAGUACUUGGGCCAUCUUCUGCUGCUUUCCCAGGACAUGGCAGAGAGAUGGACUGGAAGAGGAGCAGCCAGGACUAGAACCGGCACCCAUAUGGAUGCCAGUGCCACAGGCAGAGGAUUAACCUACUGCACCAUGGCACCGGCCCCUGGUAUAGUGGUUUGGUCGUUUCUUAUCAAUCUCCCCCCCCAACAACACUCAUGCAAAAUAAUUUACAUGGAUUUUUGGUAAUUUUGAUAUUUUUGAACUUUUGUAUAUUUCAUAUGUUUUUGUUUUUAUAAAGAGAAGUCAUAGAAAGUUAUGAAAGUCUCUUAUUUUUAUGUGUUAUUGUAGUAUCUGUGCUUAUAAUUCGUUCUUAUGAGCUAAAGGGUUCAGAAAAGAACAUAACUCCUACUGUGUGUAUUCAGUUAGCAGUCUUCAGAAUAAUUUUAUUUUCCUUCUUAUUAUCUAUGGAUGAUUUAAGGAUGUUGAAAGAAAGUGAAAAAGAAUAAAAAAGAAUUAUUAAUUUUUAUGUAAUAUGCCUUCUACAGCAGCUAAGAAAAUAUUCUGGAGUCUACAUUCAGAUAGGCAUAAAUUAUUUUUUAAUUCAAAUUUGAUUACAUUCUCAACCUAAGCUGUCGAGAAAGAAAGAGAGAGAGAAAGAUCUUUAUAAUGAAUGAAUGUGAUAUCAUAUUGAAAUGUGAAUUAGAAUCUCAACAAUAUUUGAGUAUAAAAUAUGAGGAUAAAAUACUUGCAGCCUACAUUUUUUAAGACAGAAAUUUCUAGUAUGUAUCAUAGUGAUUGUUCUUUCAUAAGGUAUACUACUGAUCUAUGAAAUUAAUGAGCAAAAAGGAGGAGAAAAACCACACAGUCUCUUGGCUCAAAAUAUUCUAAUUAUAUAGAGAGCUGCCUGGAACAAGUUCACAUUACACUAUUAAAGGCUAAUCUUAAAGUGCUACAAUAGAGAUAAGUAAAGGUUCCUUAGGUUACUCAUGUUUUAAAUCAAAAGGUGAAGUCUAUUUUAAUAAAUUUAGUAAUCUCCGCAGUUACACAAAGAUGAAAUUUAAAGACAUUUUACCAUUAUAUUAAUCUACCAAACAUUUGAAGCCUAACUAUACAGAAAAAUUAUGUGAAUCUCUUUUUAUAUUAUUAUUUAUUCUGCCCGUAAUAGGUAGCAAUCGCUCUGACAUGUUGGUCCCAACAAAGACAAAGCUGAGUCCAAGUUGUGCGUGAAGUCUCAUGCAGGGUAGACGCUGGAGGCUUCUAGUCACACAUGUCAGAAAGCGUGGACAGUGUAAGAGACACACAGGUGAGAAGACACCAGCUGAACAGAGACCAUGUAUCAGGAAGAGUGGAGUCAGUUACCGAAGCUCUGCAGUUCUGAGGGCUUGCACACAAAACAAAGCACUCAGAAGGCAAACCCAAGUCUGACUGGGAUUUAUGCAAAAAAAGGAAAAACAGAGACUACCAAGUUCAUGCAUAGUUAAUACAAAUCAGAGAUGACAGUACAGAGUUAAUACAGAAUGAAGUGCAUCUUGGGUUGACGAGAAUCAAAAUGGGGGUAACUAAACAUGUCUUAGAACUAGUUCAGGGCCGGCGCCGCGGCUCACUAGGCUAAUCCUCCGCCUAGCGGCGCCGGCACACCGGGUUCUAGUCCCGGUCGGGGCGCCGGAUUCUGUCCUGGUUGCCCCUCUUCCAGGCCAGCCCUCUGCUGUGGCCAGGGAGUGCACUGGAGGAUGGCCCAAGUGCUUGGGCCCUGCACCCCAUGGGAGACCAGGAAAAGCACCUGGCUCCUGGCUCCUGCCAUCGGAUCAGUGCGGUGCGCCGGCCGCAGCGCGCUGGCCGCGGCGGCCAUUGGAGGGUGAACCAACGGCAAAGGAAGACCUUUCUCUGUCUCUCUCUCUCACUGUCCACUCUGCCUGUCAAAAAAUAAAAAUAAAAAAAAAAAUUAAAAAAAAAACAAACAAAAAAAAAAACAAAACUAGUUCAGGCAACAUGUGUUUAUAGGCUAUGAUGCAACCCACUUUAAAAACCCAAAGAUUUCAUUGUAUGUGUCUUUGGGAGAGAGCACACUGAUUCCAUGAGAUCCAUAAGACCAUACUCCUUGUGGUUGUUUGUUUUCUGCUUACUUGUGUCUUUUUGGUAUGUGCCAACUGAGUUUUACUAAGGUUCUAAGACAUGCUACCUAGUUCUGUGGAGUAGCAGCUGAUGAUGAAAAAAAUAUAAACACUCAUUUGAAGCUAGGAGUAAAGCAACAGAAUUUAUGAAUGCAUGGUCAUCCCCUGGUAUUUUGUUCUGGGACAAUUUUAUUAGUAGUUUGUAAGAUGGAGAUGAGGACGAUGGACACUGAGAAAUCAUCCCCACCAUCUCCAAAUACAGAAAUAUCAGGUAAUUACUGAUUUUCUUUAACUGCAGGGUUCAGGAAGCUUCUGUAUAUACCCUUUUCAGAACAUAUAUGUACAAGUUUUUGAAUUGAAUACUGUUAUUAAUCUUGUGAAGAGUAAAGAACUUUUGAGAACUUGAAGAAAUGUCUAUGAACUUGAUCCUAGAAAACAGGACUAACUCACAUUGCUCUCUCUAUUAGAUGCUUCCACGGUCAGCAGAUGAAGCAAUUAUGUUUGCCCACCACAAAUGACACUAAUACGGAGGAGGUAAAAAUUGAAUUCAAGAGGCAGGCACUGUGUCACAGCAGGUUAAGCUGUUGUAAAUAAAACUGGCAUUCAGUAUGGGCACCAGUUCCAGUCCCAGCUGUUCCACUUUCCAUCCAGCUCUCUGCUAUGGCCUGAGACAACAGAAGAGGAUGGCCCAAGUGCUUGGUCCCCUGCACCCACAUGGGAGACCAGGAGGAAGCUCCUUGCUCCUGGUUUUGGCCUGGCCCCGCUCUGGCCAUUGUGGCCAUCUGGGGAGUGAAACAGCAGAUGGAAGAUCUCUCUCCUCUCUCUGUCUCUCCCUUUCUUGCUGUAACUCUAACUUUCAAAUAAAUCAAUAUUUUAAAAAUUAAAUUCAACAAUUAAAACUAGAAAGAUUAUGUGAUUAUGGCCCCAAAGUGAGCAUCAAAUGGGACUUUGGUUCUGUCAGGGGAACCCUCCUAUCAAUACUGACCCAUCCUGUUGUUGGUGUAAUGUGUCUACAAACAGCCUAGGAAAUGCUGGCUCCUGCUCUUUUGAUCAAACACAACUUAGAUUUCGGAACAUAAACCUAACAAACUAGUACACUUUUGUGAAAGAGCAUUCUCAUUUUAUCAGAACUAAUUUUUCCUCCACGAUUUCUGGAUAUAGUCUACAUCUAACUGAACAGCCUAUGGCAACAGGAUUGCUGCAUGAAACAUUUCUUUGAGAGACAGGGACUGUUGAGGUAAAGCAUGUUCCACAGUUAAAGCAGUUUGUAGAAAGACAAAAGUGGCAGACUGUCUUUAACAGGGCAGAAGAGAAACGUGCAAUGGACCUUCUUAUCUUGUGAAAUUCUCUCAUUGUGAAAAGAGUGUUUGAGGAAGACAGAACUCGAAAGCCAAAGUCAAGUGACUUUGUUUUAUUAAUAACUGUAAAUUGAGUUGAAAGAAUGUGUGAUUCCUCAAGAAUAAGCAACUAUUCGAUGAAAUAAAUUUAGCAUUUAAUUCAUUAUACCAUAUUUUAUUUUAUUUUUAUUUUUUUAUUUUUUGGACAAGCAGAGUGGACAGUGAGAGAGAGAGACAGAGAGAAAGGUCUUCCUUUACCAUUGGUUCACCCUCCAAUGGCUGCUGUGGCCCGCAUGCUGUGGCCGGCGCACCAAGCCAAUCCAAAUCCAGGAACCAGGUGCUUCUCCUGGUCUCCCAUAUGGGUGCAGGGACCAAGCACCUGGGCCAUCCUCCACUGCACUCCCGCGCCACAGCAGAGAGCUGGACUGUAAGAGGGGCGACUGGGACAGAAUCUGGUGCCCCGACCCGGACUAGAAGCCGGUGUGCCGGCGCCACAGGCAGAGGAUUAGCCUAGUAAGCCACGGCGCUGGUCUAUACCAUAUUUUAACAAAAUACUUAACAAAAGUCUUUGUAAAGAAUUUAUUUAUUUAUUUAUUUGAACGUUUGAGUGACACAUAGAGAGGGGGAUCUUCCCUCCCCAAGUCACUGUCAUGGCUGCACCCUGACCAGAUUACAUCCAGGAGCCUGGGAUUCUGUGCACCACGUGCACACGGUUGGCCCCUUCCGUGGUUUUCCCAGGUGCAUUAGCAGGGCUAAAUUGGAAGAGGGGCAGCCAGGACUAAAAUGGAUUCUCCAAUAUGGGAUGACUGUAUAGCAGGUGGUGCACUAUUGAUUAGAUUUGCAUAAGGAGUAAGAUGGUUUGCAAACUAAUUUUUAAAAUCUUUGUAUUUCUCUGGUCAGUACUAUUCAUUCAUCAUAUAUUUAUUAAUAAUCAACUGUGAAGAAGCUGCUCACAAUGGUGCUAACAUUACUACUUUCUUUUAUUUUUCUCUUUUAACUGAUGCACUAAAUGCCCCUUCUUUCCUUCCUCCUUCCGUCCUCUUUCCUUUUAUUCUUCCUUUCCUUUCUCUUUUCCUUCCUUCCUUUUAAUUUUCUUUUUUCUUUAAAGGUUUAUUUAUUAUUUGAAAGUUAGAGUUACAUAGAGAAAGAAGGAGAGGAAGAAAAAGAGAGAGAGGUCUUCCAUCCAUUGGUUCACUCCCUAAUUGGCCACAGCGGCCAGAGCUGCGCCAAUCCGAAGCUGGGAGCAAGGACCUUCUUCUAGGUCUCCCACACGGUUGCAGGGGCUCAAGGACUUGGGCCAUCUUCCACUGCUAUCCCAGGACAUAGCAGAGAGCUGGAUGGAAAGUGGAGCAGCCAGGUCUUGAAAUGAUGGCCAUAUGCGAUAGUGGUGCUUCAGGCCAGGGCGUUAAACCUCUGCGCCACAGCGUGGGCCCCCAACAUUACUACUUUCAUAGUUUAUGAAAGUACUUCAUUCCUCAUAAUUAGAAGAGUUUUUUGGUGUUUUGUCAUAAAAAUUUUAAAAUGAACCUAGAUUAGUAUAAAGGAUAAAAGAGGAAUUCUCAUGCUCACAAAACUGAGUUUUACCAAAUAAGAACUCAUGCUCAAUCUUUCUUCAUCUAUAUGCUUUCCUAUUUCUCCUGUUCCUGUAUAUGCAUAUCCCAUACUUUUUCUAUUUUAUCUGUUAAUACUUCAGUAAUCGUUGGCAAAAUUUAAGCUUUCUCGUAUGGGUACAUUUUGUACAAAACCCCUUCAUCAUUGCCAUACCUAAAAUCUUUUGACUACCUGUUAGUAUCAUGAAAUACCUUGUAAGGUACAACAUUACAAUGUUAAAAAAAUGUCCUAUGGAAAAUAAAAAAUACAUAAAUCCCAAAAACUGAUUGAGUCUCUCGAAGUAUAAAACCUUUGUAAUAUAUAGAUCAGGAAAUUGAAUGUUCCUGGAGUACCGGAAGUCUCCCCCCGCCCCCCCCUUUUUUUUUUUUUUGACAGGCAGAGUUAUAGACAGAGAGAGAGAGACAUAGAGAAAGGUCUUCCUUCUGUUGAUUCACCCCCCAAAUAUCUGCGACACCAGCACGCUGCGCCGAUCCGAAGCCAGGAGCCAGGUGCUUCCUCCUAGUCUCCCAUGUGGGUGCAGGGCCCAAGCACUUGGGCCAUCCUCCACUUCCCUCCUGGGGCAUAGCAGAGAGGUGGACUAAGAGGAGCAACCAGGACAGAACUGGCGCCCCAGCUGGGAUUAGAAUGCUGGGGUGCUGGGGCCGCAGGCGGAGGAUUAGCGUAGUGAGCCACAGCGCCGACCCAGAAGUCUUCUCCUGCCCAUGUCUAACUGAAGCAUCUGUCCUGACUUCUAAUAUCCUGGAUUAGUUUUGGGUUUGAUGUUAAUGGAAUCAUUAGUGCACCUACUGUUGCAUCUGUCCCAUUGUACUUAAUGUUACAUCCAUGGCAUUAAUCCAUUUUAUUGCAUGUAGCUGUGGUUCAUUCAUUCUCAGUGUUCUGCAUCAUGCCCCUAUGUAUCACAAUAUAUUUGUCCUGUCUGUCAGUUCCAUGUGGAGUCACAUUGGAACCUUGGGAUAAAAGAAAAAUCAGUAAUAUGGACUCUGACUUCAAUGUAAAAUUUUGUAUUUUAUUCAUUACAGUUUCUUGCAUUAAUUUUGAUUUUAAAAUUUUUGUUUGUUAUUACUUAUCUUGAUUUUGAUUUAUGUGGUAGCCCCUGCGUGCUUCUGAGGUUUAAGCUGGACUUAUCUUAUUCCAGAUUCAGUGCUGUUUCUAUCUACGGACAUGGGAGGUGUAUCGUGAAUUAUUUGUGGCAUUUGUCAGUAGUAUUGGGGUGAAGCUACCACACAUGUUUUCUGGUGAAGACAUUCAAGCAUUUUUAUUAAACAAAGAUAUACUUAGAAAUCAAAUUCUAGCCAAAUUUAUGUGCUGGUGGUAGAUGUGUUCUUCCAUUCACAAGCACACAAUAUCUGGAUGUCUAAUGAUUUUUAUUAGCAGCCUUUGACAAUUGUGCCAUUAUUUUAUCAGAAGUUGUGAAAUAUCCUAAUGUUAGCAUCCCUUCUUAAUUUCUUAGGCAAAACGCGUCUACAGGGAGAAAGAUUGUGUACUUUAUGUUUUGAUUUUAUAAUAGUUUUAAUAUAAAAAUAUGACAAUGCUUAUUUUGAAAAUAAAGCAUUACAUUACUAGAAUUCUACAGUGGUGAAAUUAUUAUUUGAUUGUUGGAAAAAUGCAUUUAAACAUAUAUGACCAAUUUUGACCUGUGACAUUUACUUUCCUUAGUGAAGCUAAAGUCAUUCCAGCUUUGCUGUUAGGAGCUGGAAACUGAGAAGAGCCAGUGGUGUGGUCAGUUUGCAUGAUCACUUUAAGGAUGAGCUGAGUUUGUAAUUAUAAACAGAACAUGGGGGAUCUUUCUUCUUGAACACGUUGAUGCCGGGGCUGGGCCAGACCAAAGUCAGGAAACAGGAACUCCAGCUGGGUCUGUCAUGUGGCAGGUAGGGACUCAGUUACCUGAAGCAUCAACAGCUGCCUUGCAGGGAACCCAAUAGCAGGAAGGUGGACCAGAAGUGGAGAUGGGACUCAAUCCCAAGCACUCUGGUACGGGAUGGGGCAUCCCAAGUGGCGACUUAACUGGCUCUACCCCCCCAGGAACAUGUAUCGUAAACUCCAUUUUCCAGUUCAUAAUUUAUAGUGGUUAUAAGAAAAUGUAUAAGAUAUUAAGAUAAAAGACCAAUGAGGCUUAUAUAGAGUUACAUAACUGACCACUGCAGCACCGUUGUUUCUUGUUUAAUAUACUUAGCAUUCUCUUAGUAUGUUUGCAUUGCCUUAUUUCUGGUUACAAUUAUCAGUGGAAGUUUGACAUUUCUAUUCUAACCUGAUCAAAGAGAAAGUUUAGAAGAAUACAGAGGAAAUUUUUAAAGUACCAAUGCCCUUCAGCUGUCGUAAUGAACUGUGGAAAGUCGGAGUGUGCUAAUGUUGGAAUAUGCUAAUCCUUUGAAUACUGCUCAGAUAGGAUUUUUCAUUGUGGCUGGUCAGCACAAUGGCUCCAGGAAGACCAUCCUGAUGAGACUGCUAUUUGACUGCAUGCUCCAAAUUGCAAAUUGCAUCCUACAUAAAAUUCUUUCUCCUUUGUUAAGUCAGAUCAAUUUGGUUGGAUAAUGCUACGAAGCAUCACUCUGCACAAUUUGGUGAAUCCUGUGCAGAAAGUACUGGAGUUAGGACGUCUCAUUAAAUAACUGACCUCUUCAAAAAAAAAAAAAAAAGAAAGAAAAAGAGGAUUUACAGUUUUAAGAUGUCAUCAAUUUUAGGAAAAUAAAUCUAUAUUGAAAUAAAUUUAUAUUUAAAGUCUAUAAAAUGUUACUAUGGGGAAUAGUAAGCUAUUUUUGCUACAUUUUUUCGUAGAAUGUGCUGAGAAGUGAGAACGUCACCCUAAGGGGCAAUCAAGAACAAGCCCAUUCUCAUCUAAUGUCUUCUUUGUUUCUCAGCAUUUAUUUGGAGAAGUGAGAGAAAAAAGUAGGAAAGUACCAAAUUGGAAGUUGUCAAUUUGGGAAACUUUAUUAAUUUGACAUGAAGAGGUCCUUUUUGAUUAAUAAAAAGCUGCAUUUUACCUUCCUUAGAAGCUAAGAAGGCAGAGAUUUUCAAGGCUGUAUGGUUGCUCUGGGGUGUUAUUGCAUUGUCCAAAGACACAACCUACUCGGGAACCAUGGGCCCAGGAUGAGCUCAGCAGAGUAAAACAUAAGAAAAGCACAAAUUAUAUGCACUUUUCCACCAACUCCCACAUUUCCUUUUCAGUUCCGUGAUUUCAAAUGCUUUUAUUGCUGUGUUACAAAUAAACUGGGCCCCUAGUGCAGAUGACCAGAAAUUAAUGAUCCUCAUUAAUAGAAAUAAAAAUGUUUGCUGUAUUGCAAAAUAUUCAAUAAAUAAACCUAUAUAAGUGUAUACUUUCAUGUGAAAAUCAAUAUUGUUGCUAAAUAAUAAUAAACCAAUUUUUAUUAUAUCUGGGGAUUAUUUAAAUGUUUUUGAUCCCAAAAUUAAUUAUAUGACAUAUUUUCUGAUCAGUGAAAUUACUUUUUUGAAACGUUUAUAUUAAUAGAUAUUUUUUAAAAAUUCCUUGAAUAAAAUGUCAUUUCUAUGUUUUUAUCAUUUUUACAAUACAUGGUGGGAUAUUUUUAUAGGCUUUUAGUAUCCUAGUAUGGCAUUUCUUAAAGUAUGACCCAUAGGCUGUUUGUACUGUCCACUCAGGCCCUGCUGGGCCCAGAUAUAAAUGAAAAGUGGCUUUCUUAGUCUGACCACAUGCGUGGUUAGCACGUAAUAAUCAAUUUAGCUCUCUGAAAGAUCGGACCAUACAUUCUGUUAAGAAUCACCGUGGGCUUUGAUCCUAAUAGGGAAAGAUUCAUUCUGGCAUUAAAGACAAGUUGAAAUGAUUGGUCUCUCAGCUUGUUUCCAGGAAUGUUUUGCCUGGUGGCUCUAUGGGAGGAGAUAGAGACAUACAGGUAGGCAUGUGUGUACUCCUUAGGUCUUACCAUACGAUGCUCUGUACCGCCCUCAGUCUCCCUCAGAAAGAACACCAUCACCACACUGGGAAUGAACCAUCAGGCCUGCCCAGUCUUGGGCUAUGACCCUCCAAUAUUGUAAACAAAAUAAAUCUUUUUAAGCAUAUUUAUUUAUUUGAAAGGUGGAGUUACAAAGGCAGAUGCAGGGGCGGAGCCAAGAUGGCGGAAUAGUGAGGGCGCGCACCAAUAGUCCCGGAAAAUUUAGUUUAAUAAAAGGGGAGUUACGGUAGCCGCAGAAAAAAAAAGCCAGGAAAAAAUUGCACGGGAAUCGUGAAUCGGAGGACCUACUGGGAGAACAAGGUCGCCCACCGCGCUGAAGCCAAGUCGCGGGACCGAGCCGCAGAAGCCCCAGGGUCUGCGCGCCAGUGCUCCAAGGGGAGUGCAUGCCACACAGACAACAGCGGGGAGACUUGGGACGCUCAGGGCUCCGAGUCCACACAUCGGCGCUGGAAGGGGAGGUGAGCUCAAUAACCCGAGACAUUGGUGGGGAAACGGGGGUCAGAAUCUAGAGGGGGGCCGGAAAGUGUAGCAAACUCACUACCGGAAAGAAGGAAAAAAAAAAGCUUCGGGGUUUCUCUUCCCCCUAACCUUGCAAAGGUUACAAGGCUGCAAGGCUUGAAGAAUUCCCAAGAGACAAAGAGCAGGCCUCCUCUCUGGAUUUACAUAUCAAUGGGGGAGAGCUAAGGAACUGAGUCACUACAAUUCAGUAGCCUAGGCAACCCAGUGGGAGUCCAGAGGAGCCAAAGACUGGAAGCUAAAUACCAUCAAUUCUGCACAGCCCUGCCCUGCGGUGUUACUUACCCCCUGAAUAAAUAAAAUAAAUAAAUAAAUAAAAAGAGAGAGAUUUACCACGCAUAACCUGAGGGUGUCACCUUUGCACACCCUUAACCAGGAAGAACCAGGCAGAGCUCUCAGGCCGCACCCAUCUCAAGCCUCCAAGGCUCCUCCAACAGCAGGCAGUCCACUUAACACGGACACAGUAUAAAAAAAAAAAAAAAAAGAAGAAA